rnacentral:rRNA from 1 species
GAUGAACGCUGGCGGCGUGCCUAAUACAUGCAAGUCGAGCGAACAGAUGAGGAGCUUGCUCCUCUGACGUUAGCGGCGGACGGGUGAGUAACACGUGGAUAACCUACCUAUAAGACUGGGAUAACUUCGGGAAACCGGAGCUAAUACCGGAUAAUAUAUUGAACCGCAUGGUUCAAUAGUGAGAGACGGCUUUGCUGUCACUUAUAGAUGGAUCCGCGCCGCAUUAGCUAGUUGGUAAGGUAACGGCUUACCAAGGCAACGAUGCGUAGCCGACCUGAGAGGGUGAUCGGCCACACUGGAACUGAGACACGGUCCAGACUCCUACGGGAGGCAGCAGUAGGAAAUCUUCCGCAAUGGGCGAAAGCCUGACGGAGCAACGCCGCGUGAGUGAUGAAGGUCUUCGGAUCGUAAAACUCUGUUAUUAGGGAAGAACAAAUGUGUAAGUAACUAUGCACGUCUUGACGGUACCUAAUCAGAAAGCCACGGCUAACUACGUG